GGGAUCGUCGUAUAACUUGGUUAGUACUCCAGGUUUGGGACCUGGUAAUCUCGGUUCAAAUCCGAGCGGUCUCA
rnacentral:tRNA from 1 species